rnacentral:rRNA from 1 species
CUACGGGACGCUCCAGUGGGGAAUAUUGCACAAUGGAGGAAACUCUGAUGCAGCAACGCCGCGUGGAGGAUGACACUUUUCGGAGCGUAAACUCCUUUUAUAUAGGAAGAAGAUGACGGUACUAUAUGAAUAAGCGCCGGCUAACUCCGUGCCAGCAGCCGCGGUAAUACGGAGGGCGCAAGCGUUACUCGGAAUCACUGGGCGUAAAGAGCGUGUAGGCGGAUUAAAAAGUCAGAAGUGAAAUCCUAUAGCUUAACUAUAGAACUGCUUCUGAAACUCUUAAUCUAGAAUGUGGGUGAGGUAGAUGGAAUUUCUGGUGUAGGGGUAAAAUCCGUAGAGAUCAGAAGGAAUACCGAUUGCGAAGGCGAUCUACUAGAACAUUAUUGACGCUGAGACGCGAAAGCGUGGGGAGCAAACAGGAUUAGAUACCCCAGUAGUC